rnacentral:rRNA from 1 species
UACGGAGGGUGCGAGCGUUGUCCGGAAUCACUGGGCGUAAAGGGCGCGUAGGCGGCCACCGCAAGUCGAUUGUGAAAUCUCCGGGCUUAACCCGGAAAGGUCAACCGAUACUGCGGGGCUAGAGUGCAGAAGGGGCAACUGGAAUUCUCGGUGUAGCGGUGAAAUGCGUAGAUAUCGAGAGGAACACCUGCGGCGAAGGCGGGUUGCUGGGCUGACACUGACGCUGAAGUGCGAAAGCUAGGGGAGCGAACGGG